ACAAUACAAAUUCAAGUUAAAAAUUGUCAGCUGAAAAGAUGGUUAUUGGUUGUAAGGUAUUAGUGUAAAAUAGAUCAUAUUUUGUGGGUGCAAUCAGCAUAAUAUGGGUGGAGUUAUAGUUUGCAUAAGAAAAAUUUAAGACGCCAUGAAAUUUAAAAUAUGGACUGGGAUUAGAGACCCCAUUACUUUUUUACUUAAAAUUUGUUAUGCUGGGGUAUUACGAAUAAAAUGGUUUAGUAUUUAAAACUCAAAGAACUUGGCGGUGUUUCAGAUCUUUUUAGGGGAACCUGUUCUGUAAUCGAUACUCCACGUUAAAUCUAACCUCUAUUUGUUUAAUGCAGUUUGUAUACCGCCGUUAGGUUAGUUUAUUUCUGAGAAUAAGGUAAUAAGCGUAAUUAGUAAUUGUCUUGGGCUAUUAGCUAGUAUUUCAGGUCAUGGUGCAGCCUAUAUAGGGGGAGUAAUGGGUUACAGUUAUAUUAUGUUAAAUGGACUCAUGAUUUAUAUAUCAUGAUAAAAAAGGACUUAAUAGUAAAAUUAUAGUAGCAAGUUAAUUUGAAUCUGGUGCUGGAAUGUGUACAAAUCGCCCGUCGCUCUCGUUUAAAUUAGUUAAUGAGAUAAGUCGUACU
rnacentral:rRNA from 1 species